rnacentral:rRNA from 1 species
GGACCCGCACAAGCGGUGGAGUAUGUGGUUUAAUUCGAUGCAACACGAAGAACCUUACCAGGGUUUGAAAUCAUUUCAAAACUCCUUGAAAGAGGAGCCUCCUUCGGGAUGAAAUGACAGGUGGUGCAUGGCUGUCGUCAGCUCGUGUUGUGAAAUGUCGAGUUAAGUCUCGUAACGAGCGCAACCCAUGUCUCUUGUUGCUCACUGAGUGCUUAAGAGAGACUGCCGACCAACAUCGGAGGAAGGUGUGGAUGAUGUCAAGUCAGCAUGCCCCUUACAUCCUGGGCUACACACGUACUACAAUGGUAGGGACAAUGAGCUGCGAUCCUGCGAAGGCUAGCCAAUCUCAAAAACCCUAUCUCAGUUCGGAUUGUACUCUGCAACUCGAGUACAUGAAGGUGGAAUCGCUAGUAA